CGCUUCGUGAUCGCCGUUCUCGUCGAUCAGAAAAUAAAAAAACUAGGCUGAUAUUGCCUCGAAGAUGAAGCAGUUGUAUUACGUGAUUCGUAAUUCGCAUUAGAGUCGAAGCUUGGGUGAUACAGGUUAUUUCUUAUGGUGGAAUCGACGAGGGGAAUUCGAACACUAGUUGAAGUGUUUGAAUUGUUGGAAGAAACGGGCGCUUGGAAAUGUAGGAAUGACGGUUUUAGAUCUACCUGCUUGGUUUAUAUCUGUUAAGCUUCAUGUUGACAAGUCCUUCAAAAUGGCGGCCAAACUCGGAGAUUGCCAAAAAUCAGAUUGAUCAAACCUUUUUUACCAUUCCUCAAUUCUGGUGGAAGUUGAAUAUAAGAAGAACCUUUGGUCGGAUUAUAUAUAACAGUAUUUAUGUAGUGAUUAUCAACUGAUCGGAUACGCCAGCCAGAUCCAUUGUGCAAUUUGAUAUGAUAUGUGUUGCUUUGUUGUUUGUAAAGAGUCUGCUAUUUCUGUUUCAUUUCUUAUUGUCUUAGGUGCCCUAUUAAAAUGUGCUGUUUUUGUUCGAACUUCGUCAGCUUUAUGCUUCUCAAAGCUGGAAAAUCAAGUGUGAUAGACAUUGAAAAACUGUUCGAGGAAGGUGAAAUUGAAGGAGAGAAUGAUUGCAUUAAAAGGGAAUCAACAAUGACAAGACCCACUGCACGCAAGCCUUCAGUGGAGGAUGAGUUUCUCAUGUUAGCCAAGCCAACUCGAAAGCUUCGCUACUUUGGCUGUUGUAUAGUAAUUAAAAAAUUGUAUAUAUUAUGAUAUAUCUUCUAUUAUUUGUUUUCUAUACUUGUUUUUUUCCUUACUCUUUUUCUUCUAUCAGAAUAGUGUGAAUAAAAAUGUUGUUGUUGUUGUUGUUACUGAUGAAGCUAAGGAUGGGACUAUCCAACAUUUUUUAGCAGAGAGGUUUUGUGUAUCCGAGAGUACUGUAAAUAUUAUUAAUCUUACUUGGGUUAAUUUUGUGUACAAUGUAAUUGGCAGCCUAAAAAUAUGCCCACAUAGAGAUAUUGUUGUGUUUCAUGGAUUUAAGUCAGACAAAAAACUACAACUCAAUACAAACUUAACGUCUAUACUUUCAACAUGGCGGUUCUCAAAUCUUCAAGGUACGCAUAUGGCAUGCGUGCGCAUAUGUGACAGAUACAGCGGGCCGGCAUGCCUGAUAUAGCAGAUAUAAUUUUAAAACAUUGUCUAGAGGAAUUUAUCAAGAAAUAUCCUAACACUAUUGUGAUUGUUGAUGCGACUGAACUGAAAAUCCAAGUCCCUAGUUCAUUACAAAAGCACACUGAGAGUUACAGUACUUACAAACCCCACACAACUUUUAAGUCUCCUAUAAGAGUGGAUCCUAAUGGGGGCAUUAUGUUUCUGUCUCAAUUAUUUGAGGGUUCCAUUUCUGACAAACAAAUAGUGCAGAGAUCAGGGUUUCUGGAAACUGUGAAACAGAGAGUACAAUGUGGAGAACUAAAAGGAGGAGAUGCCAUCAUGGCAGACAAAGGUUUUGACAUUGGUGAUGACCUUGCAAAACUGAAAUUGAAAUUGAAUAUUCCUCCCUUCUUGAAGGACAAAACGGGAUUUGAAGAGGGUGAUGUAAUCAAGACCCAGACAAUAACAUGGCAUCACAUUCAUGUUGA
rnacentral:lncRNA from 1 species